AGACCAGACAGAGGCGAGUCUUGGCAAGGCAGCCGGGGAAGCACCAGCCUACUGCAAAGUCAUCCUCAGGGAAGCCAUGCUUUGGAGAUGUCCAGGCUUCUACGUUUUCCUCUUCUGUACAGGGGUCUCUUUGGAUGUAAGUUUGGAACAAGUUGACCAGAUAACUGUUGUAGCUGGGGACCAUGCCAUCUUCCACUGCACUGUAACAGGAGAAGACCUGAGGAAGCUUCAAAUGAGCUGGUACAAGAAGAGUGAAGAUAAUGCUCUGAUUCUAGUAUACAAACUAAAUAACAAUUCUACUGAGGAUUUAAUGGGCAAUUUCAAAGGGAAAAUUGACAUUUCAGAACGCCGGUUUAUACUUGACAUUCAAAAGGCAACAACGAAAGACGCCGGGACUUAUUACUGUGGGUCAGAUAUCCACAGUGCUGCAGUUACUGCUUCUAAUCGAAUCAAGCCAGAUAGUUUUUCUGACUGA